rnacentral:misc_RNA from 1 species
UGGUACUGGCAUCGAUGAAGAACGCAGCGAAAUGCGAUAAGUAAUGCGAAUUGCAGAAUUCAGUGAAUCAUCGAAUCUUUGAACGCACAUUGCGCCCGCCAGUAUUCUGGCGGGCAUGCCUGCCCGAGCGUCAUUUACACCCCUCGCCCCCCUCGGGGGGCGGUGUUGGGGACCGGGGCGGCGGAACCACCUGGGACCGCUGCCCCCUCCCUUAAGUCCAUUGGCGGUCCCGCCGGCGCCCUUCCGCGUAGUAUCACUACCCCGCGGAGCGGUGCGCCCGGCGGCGACACAGCCACUAAACACCCCAAUUCGGGCCGAGAGGCCUCAGAGUUUGACCUCGGAUCAGGUAGGAAUACCCGCUGA